rnacentral:rRNA from 1 species
AGUGAACGCUGGCGGUAGGCCUAACACAUGCAAGUCGAACGGCAGCACAGGAGAGCUUGCUCUCUGGGUGGCGAGUGGCGGACGGGUGAGGAAUACAUCGGAAUCUGCCCAGUCGUGGGGGAUAACGUAGGGAAACUUACGCUAAUACCGCAUACGACCUUCGGGUGAAAGAGGGGGAUCGCAAGACCUCUCGCGAUUGGAUGAGCCGAUGUCGGAUUCGCUAGUUGGCGGGGUAAUGGCCCACCAAGGCGACGAUCCGUAGCUGGUCUGAGAGGAUGAUCAGCCACACUGGAAGAGAGACAGGGACCAGACGCCUGCGGGAGGCAGCAGUGGGGAAUAGUGGACAAUGGUCGCGAGCCUGAUCCAGCCAUACCGCGUGGGUGAAGAAGGCCUUGGGGUUGUAAAGCCGGUUUGUUGGGAAAGAAAUCUUUCAGGCUAAUACCCUGGGAGGAUGACGGUACCCAAAGAAUAAGCACCGGCUAACUUCGUG